rnacentral:rRNA from 1 species
CCUACGGGAGGCAGCAGUGAGGAAUAUUGGUCAAUGGACGCAAGGCUGAACCAGCCAUGCCGCGUGCAGGAUGACUGCUCUAUGAGUUGUAAACUUCUUUUGUACGAGGGUAAACUCCGAUACGUGUAGCUGUUUGAAAGUAUCUUACGAAUAAGGAUCGGCUAACUCCGUGCCAGCAGCCGCGGUAAUACGGAGGAUUCGAGCGUUAUCCGGAUUUAUUGGGUUUAAAGGGUGCGUAGGCGGUUUGAUAAGUUAGCGGUGAAAUGUUGGGGCUCAACCCCGAAACUGCCUCUAAUACUGUUGGACUAGAGAGUAGUUGAGGUAGGCGGAAUGUAUGGUGUAGCGGUGAAAUGCUUAGAGAUCAUACAGAACACCGAUUGCGAAGGCAGCAUACCAAACUAUAUCUGACGUUGAGGCACGAAAGCGUGGGUAGCAAACAGGAUUAGAUACCCUUGUAGUC